rnacentral:rRNA from 1 species
UGCUGCCUAUACUGCAAGUCGAGCGGAUCUUCUCCUUCGUGGCAAAGUUAGCGGCGGACGGGUGAGUAACACGUAAGCAACCUGCCCACAAGACCGGGAUAACAUUCGGAAACGAAUGCUAAGACCGGAUACGCAAGCCUGGGGCAUCCCGGGCUUGGGAAACACGGCGCAAGCUGUGGCUUGUGGAUGGGCCUGCGGCGCAUUAGCUAGUUGGCGGGGUAACGGCCCACCAAGGCGACGAUGCGUAGCCGACCUGAGAGGGUGAACGGCCACACUGGGACUGAGACACGGCCCAGACUCCUACGGGAGGCAGCAGUAGGGAAUCUUCCACAAUGGGCGAAAGCCUGAUGGAGCAACGCCGCGUGAGUGAGGAAGGCUUUCGGGUCGUAAAGCUCUGUUGCCAGGGAAGAAUAAGGGCCAGUUAACUGCUGGUCCGAUGACGGUACCUGAGAAGAAAGCCCCGGCUAACUACGUGCCAGCAGCCGCGGUAAUACGUAAGGGGCAAGCGUUGUCCGGAAUUAUUGGGCGUAAAGCGCGCGCAGGCGGUUCUUUAAGUCUGGUGUAUAAGUGCGGGGCUCACCCCCGUGAGGCACUGGAAACUGGGGAACUUGAGUGCAGAAGAGGAAAGCGGAAUUCCACGUGUAACGGUGAAAUGCGUAGAGAUGUGGAAGAACACCAGUGGCGAAAGCGGCUCUCUGGACUGUAACUGACGCUGAAGCCCGAAAGCGUGGGGAGCAAACAGGAUUAAAUACCCGGGUAAUCACGCCCCUAAACGAUGAUUGGCUAGUGUUGGGGGGAUCGCCCCCUCAGGGCGAAAUUAACCCUUUAACACUCCCCCCUGGGAAUACGCUCCCAAAAUGGAACUCCAAGGAAUUGACGGGGAACCGCCAAGCAUUGGAAUAUGGGGUUAAUUCCAAACCCCCCAAAAAACCUUACCGGUCUUGAUUCCCCCAGACAGAACUA